AUUGAACGCUGGCGGCAUGCUUUACACAUGCAAGUCGAACGGUAACAGGGAGCUUGCUCCGCUGACGAGUGGCGAACGGGUGAGUAAUGCAUCGGAACGUACCCAGUCGUGGGGGAUAACGUAGCGAAAGUUACGCUAAUACCGCAUACGAUCUACGGAUGAAAGCGGGGGAUCGCAAGACCUCGCGCGAUUGGAGCGGCCGAUAUCAGAUUAGGUAGUUGGUGGGGUAAAGGCUCACCAAGCCAACGAUCUGUAGCUGGUCUGAGAGGACGACCAGCCACACUGGAACUGAGACACGGUCCAGACUCCUACGGGAGGCAGCAGUGGGGAAUUUUGGACAAUGGACGCAAGUCUGAUCCAGCCAUUCCGCGUGACGAGGAUAGGAAACGGCCCCCGUUCGGGGUUAGUAAACUGUCUUUU
rnacentral:rRNA from 1 species